CUCUUCUGUCCUUGGACUCUGUAGGUUCUCGUAACGGUCCCGUCUAACCAUAGUGCCAACAUCAGCAGUGCCAGGUUUAUGCCUGAGUCCAGCGAUCACUGGAUUGUGUCUGCAGCAGGAGAUGGAAAUAUUCAUCACCCACAGCCCUGUGCUCAUCCAGUACAAAUAUACCUGCCACCACGGGACAGCCUAUUAGGUACAAGGAGAGUCCAGCUCCAGUGCAUCACUGAUGCAGAGAAUGUCAGACAUGUUUUCCAGGUGGUACGAGGAAGCGCAGAAUAACAGAGAUCAAUCCCACUCACGCACAAGAAGUACCACUUCUGAACCAGCACAAGUUGAGCCUAGUGCAGAGACAGUGACCCAUGCACAAGACACACAGGGGCGGACUUACCCAUUAGGCAAAGACAGGGAUUCCGCUUCCUCUGUGUCUGUCAGCAGUGCCUCCGCAGAGCUUGUUCUUAGUCUGCACUACAGUCCAGAAGGCUCCUCCACCAGCACCAUGACACUGAACCUCACCGGUCAUUGGACUGAUGCUGGGUCGAGCUGUGGGCGUCCCAAUAGCACAGGUAUCAGUGAACAGGAAGGCAGCUCUCCAGAACCAUGCUCAGGACCAGCUGAUGUUAGGCCUCGUGGAAAUGAAAAGCGUGCAUGUCGCACUGCGGUCAACUUUACAGUCAAGUUUGUGAACUUGUGUCAACAGCUGAAGACACAAACAGACAAAACAGCACAUCUGGAGAGCCAACAGCAGAUCAGGAUGACAGUAGUGAGGAGACCAACCACACAUCCUCAACAAACAACAAUCCUCCACUCACACAGAGGUUCAUCUUAUUAAAGCUUUAGUUUCAGACGGCAAAUAAACUCCUUCAGGGUGAUACUAGCCUUGUGAUCAUCCUACCAGGUUUUAUUUUGUACAGUAAGCCUGUCAUUAUCACAUUAAUUUCACAAUGCUGUUGUAAUUUACCACUCACUUUUUUAAUUUUUUGGUCUGCUGCUUUCAGAUUAAAUUUCAGAGGAUCAGUGAUCGGUGAACGGGUUCUGAAGUGAAAAAUAUAUUGUACAUACACUAUUGCUCAAAAGUUUUUGAAAGAAUAUUAUUAAACAAAUAUGUAAUCAUUAAAAAAAUACAGCAAAUCAUAUAAUAAAUACAUAUAAAUAAUUAUAAAAUACAGCAAAACCUUUUAUAUUGUGUAAUAUUAAUACAAUUUAAAGUAACUGUCUAUUGUAAUAUAUUUUAAAAUUGUCUUUUUUUUUUUCCUGUGAUGCAAAGCUGAAUUUGUCUAUAGAUGGCAAGAAAUCUUUUGCGAUGUAUUAUAUACACACUAAAGUUCAAAACGUUGGGGAAUUCUUUUAUUCAGCAAGGCUGCAUUAAACUGAUCAAAAGUGACAAUAAAGACAAUUUAACUAGUUACACUAAAAUAUUAAGUAGCACAACUGUUUUCAACAUUAAUAAUAACAAUAAAAAUGUUUCUUGAGCAGCAAAAUCAGCAUAUUAGAAUGAUUUCUGAAGGAUCAUGUGACACUGAAGACUGAAUAUAUAUAUAUAUAUAUAUAGGUUCCAUCCAAAUUUUCUGCUUUAAAUGGGUCAUAUGAUGUUGCUCAAAAGAACAUUAUUUUGUGUAUAUGGUGUAAUGAAAUGUGUUUAUGCGGUUUAAGGUUAAAAAAAAACAGAUUAUUUUCCACCCACUGUACAUUAUUGUUUCUCCUCUAUGCCCCUCCUUUCUGAAACGUGUAGUUUUUUACAAAGCUCAUCGUUCUGAAAAGUGAGGUUCAAGCAUGUUACGGAAAUGUUAUGCCCCUUGCCAUACUGUGAUGUGUGUCUUGGUAAGAACACCGGCGCAACAAGAUAAAAACAAUAAAACCCAUUACAAACAAGCCAUUUUUUUUGCAUCCAGUGGGGACAUAAUUACAGAUUAUAAUGAUUUAUACUGUGUUUUUACGUGUUGCGUUGAAUCGCACCGCGUAAACAUAAAAUCAUGUCUGCACUUGUGAUUGGAGAAACGACAAACAACAAGCGCUACUCUGCUCAAAACUCGUGUUUGAAUCGUCC
ensembl:lncRNA